AUUGAACGCUGGCGGCAGGCCUAACACAUGCAAGUCGAGCGGAACGGCUGACGGAUGAGUGAUUCCUAGGAAUCUGCCUUGUGGUGGGGGAUAAAGUCCGUAAACGGGCGCUAAUACCACAUACUAAUAGAUGAGCCUAGGUCGGAUUAGCUAGUUGGUGGGGUAAAGGCCUAAAAAGGCGACGACCCGGCACUGGUCUGCAAGGAUGAUCCGUAACACUGGAACUGAGACACGGUCCAGACGCCUACGGUAGGCAGCAGUGGGGAAUAUUGGACAAUGGGCGAAAGCCUGAGCCAGCCAUGCCGCGUGGGUGAAGAAGGUCUUCGGAUUGUAAAGCACUUUAAGUUGGGAGGCGUUACCAACAGAAUAAGCACCGGCUAACUUCGGGCCAGCAGCCGCGGUAAUUC
rnacentral:rRNA from 1 species